UACGGAGGGUGCGAGCGUUAAUCGGAAUCACUGGGCGUAAAGCGCGCGUAGGCGGCUUUUCAAGUCAGGGGUGAAAUCCCACGGCCCAACCGUGGAACUGCCUUUGAAACUGUAGAGCUUGAGUGUCGGAGAGGGUGGCGGAAUUCCAGGUGUAGGAGUGAAAUCCGUAGAUAUCUGGAGGAACACCGGUGGCGAAGGCGGCCACCUGGACGACAACUGACGCUGAGGUGCGAAAGCGUGGGUAGCAAACA
rnacentral:rRNA from 1 species